UACGAAGGGGGCUAGCGUUGCUCGGAAUCACUGGGCGUAAAGGGUGCGUAGGCGGGUUUUUAAGUCAGAGGUGAAAUCCUGGAGCUCAACUCCAGAACUGCCUUUGAUACUGAGAAUCUUGAGUUCGGGAGAGGUGAGUGGAACUGCGAGUGUAGAGGUGAAAUUCGUAGAUAUUCGCAAGAACACCAGUGGCGAAGGCGGCCCCCUGGGCCGCGCCUGACGCUGAGACGCGAAAGCGCGGGGAGCGAACGGG
rnacentral:rRNA from 1 species